AUUGAACGCUGGCGGCAUGCUUUACACAUGCAAGUCGAACGGACCUAGGGGCCUGCUCCUAGGUUAGUGGCGAACGGGUGAGUAAUGCAUCGGAACGUACCGUGUAAUGGGGGAUAACGCAGCGAAAGUUGUGCUAAUACCGCAUACGAUCUACGGAUGAAAGCAGGGGAUCGCAAGACCUUGCGUUAUACGAGCGGCCGAUGUCGGAUUAGCUAGUUGGUAGGGUAAAGGCCUACCAAGGCAACGAUCCGUAGCGGGUCUGAGAGGAUGAUCCGCCACACUGGGACUGAGACACGGCCCAGACUCCUACGGGAGGCAGCAGUGGGGAAUUUUGGACAAUGGGCGCAAGCCUGAUCCAGCCAUGCCGCGUGAGUGAAGAAGGCCUGCGGGUUGUAAAGCACUUUUAGUAGGGAAGAUAAUGACGUUACCUACAG
rnacentral:rRNA from 1 species